GGCCCUUUAGCUCUGUUGGUUAGAGCGUGUGACUCAUAAUCGCCCGGUCACUGGUUCAAGUCCAGCAAGGGUCACCA
rnacentral:tRNA from 1 species